rnacentral:rRNA from 1 species
UCAGUGAGCAAUCACCGCUGUGAAGGUGCUGCAUGGUUGUCGUCAGCUCGUGCCGUGAGGUGUCGGCUUAAGUGCCAUAACGAGCGCAACCCUUAUCUUCAGUUACUAACAGGUCAUGCUGAGGACUCUGGAGAGACUGCCGUCGUAAGAUGUGAGGAAGGUGGGGAUGACGUCAAAUCAGCACGGCCCUUACGUCCGGGGCUACACACGUGUUACAAUGGGGGGUACAGAAGGCAGCUACCUGGUGACAGGAUGCUAAUCCCAAAAGCCUCUCUCAGUUCGGAUCGAAGUCUGCAACCCGACUUCGUGAAGCUGGAUUCGCUAGUAAUCGCGCAUCAGCCACGGCGCGGUGAAUACGUUCCCGGGCCUUGUACACACCGCCCGUCAAGCCAUGGGAGCCGGGGGUACCUGAAGUACGUAACCGCAAGGAGCGUCCUAGGGUAAAACUGGUGACUGGGGCUAAGUCGUAACAAGGUAGCCGUACCGGAAGGUGCGGCUGGAACACCUCCUUU